UGGAAAGAUGAAUCAAAGAAGGUAAUAAUCCUGUAGUCGAAAAUGUUGUCUCUCUUGAGUGGAUCCUGAGUACGACGGAGCACGUGAAAUUCCGUCGGAAUCUGGGAGGACCAUCUCCUAAGGCUAAAUACUCUCUAGUGACCGAUAGUGAACCAGUACCGUGAGGGAAAGGUGAAAAGCACCCCGGAAGGGGAGUGAAAUAGAACCUGAAACCGUGUGCUUACAAGUAGUCAGAGCCCGUUAAUGGGUGAUGGCGUGCCUUUUGUAGAAUGAACCGGCGAGUUACGAUUUGAUGCAAGGUUAAGCAGUAAAUGUGGAGCCGUAGCGAAAGCGAGUCUGAAUAGGGCGUUUAGUAUUUGGUCGUAGACCCGAAACCAGGUGAUCUACCCUUGGUCAGGUUGAAGUUCAGGUAACACUGAAUGGAGGACCGAACCGACUUACGUUGAAAAGUGAGCGGAUGAACUGAGGGUAGCGGAGAAAUUCCAAUCGAACCUGGAGAUAGCUGGUUCUCUCCGAAAUAGCUUUAGGGCUAGCCUCAAGUGAUGAUUAUUGGAGGUAGAGCACUGUUUGGACGAGGGGCCCCUCUCGGGUUACCGAAUUCAGACAAACUCCGAAUGCCAAUUAAUUUAACUUGGGAGUCAGAACAUGGGUGAUAAGGUCCGUGUUCGAAAGGGAAACAGCCCAGACCACCAGCUAAGGUCCCAAAAUAUAUGUUAAGUGGAAAAGGAUGUGGCGUUGCCCAGACAACUAGGAUGUUGGCUUAGAAGCAGCCAUCAUUUAAAGAGUGCGUAAUAGCUCACUAGUCGAGUGACACUGCGCCGAAAAUGUACCGGGGCUAAACAUAUUACCGAAGCUGUGGAUUGUCCUUUGGACAAUGGUAGGAGAGCGUUCUAAGGGCGUUGAAGCAUGAUCGUAAGGACAUGUGGAGCGCUUAGAAGUGAGAAUGCCGGUGUGAGUAG
rnacentral:rRNA from 1 species